GAUGAACGCUGGCGGCGUGCCUAAUACAUGCAAGUCGAGCGAACGGACGAGAAGCUUGCUUCUCUGAUGUUAGCGGCGGACGGGUGAGUAACACGUGGAUAACCUACCUAUAAGACUGGGAUAACUUCGGGAAACCGGAGCUAAUACCGGAUAAUAUUUUGAACCGCAUGGUUCAAAAGUGAAAGACGGUCUUGCUGUCACUUAUAGAUGGAUCCGCGCUGCAUUAGCUAGUUGGUGAGGUAACGGCUUACCAAGGCAACGAUGCAUAGCCGACCUGAGAGGGUGAUCGGCCACCCUGGAACUGAGACACGGUCCAGACUCCUACGGGAGGCAGCAGUAGGGAAUCUUCCGCAAUGGGCGAAAGCCUGACGGAGCAACGCCGCGUGAGUGAUGAAGGUCUUCGGAUCGUAAAACUCUGUUAUUAGGGAAGAACAUAUGUGUAAGUAACUGUGCACAUCUUGACGGUACCUAAUCAGAAAGCCACGGCUAACUACGUG
rnacentral:rRNA from 1 species